rnacentral:rRNA from 1 species
GGGUUGUGAGGUUAAGCGACUAAGCGUACACGGUGGAUGCCCUGGCAGUCAGAGGCGAUGAAGGACGUGCUAAUCUGCGAUAAGCGUCGGUGAGGUGAUAUGAACCGUUAUAACCGGCGAUUUCCGAAUGGGGAAACCCAGUGUGUUUCGACACACUAUCAUUAACUGAAUCCAUAGGUUAAUGAGGCGAACCGGGGGAACUGAAACAUCUAAGUACCCCGAGGAAAAGAAAUCAACCGAGAUUCCCCCAGUAGCGGCGAGCGAACGGGGAGGAGCCCAGAGCCUGAAUCAGUGUGUGUGUUAGUGGAAGCGUCUGGAAAGGCGCGCGAUACAGGGUGACAGCCCCGUACACAAAAAUGCACAUACUGUGAGCUCGAUGAGUAGGGCGGGACACGUGGUAUCCUGUCUGAAUAUGGGGGGACCAUCCUCCAAGGCUAAAUACUCCUGACUGACCGAUAGUGAACCAGUACCGUGAGGGAAAGGCGAAAAGAACCCCGGCGAGGGGAGUGAAAAAGAACCUGAAACCGUGUACGUACAAGCAGUGGGAGCCUCUUAAUGGGGUGACUGCGUACCUUUUGUAUAAUGGGUCAGCGACUUAUAUUCUGUAGCAAGGUUAACCGAAUAGGGGAGCCGAAGGGAAACCGAGUCUUAACUGGGCGUUAAGUUGCAGGGUAUAGACCCGAAACCCGGUGAUCUAGCCAUGGGCAGGUUGAAGGUUGGGUAACACUAACUGGAGGACCGAACCGACUAAUGUUGAAAAAUUAGCGGAUGACUUGUGGCUGGGGGUGAAAGGCCAAUCAAACCGGGAGAUAGCU